rnacentral:rRNA from 1 species
GUGGGGAAUAUUGGACAAUGGGCGAAAGCCUGAUCCAGCCAUGCCGCGUGUGUGAAGAAGGUCUUCGGAUUGUAAAGCACUUUAAGUUGGGAGGAAGGGUAGUAACCUAAUACGUUGCUACUUUGACGUUACCGACAGAAUAAGCACCGGCUAACUUCGUGCCAGCAGCCGCGUUAAUACGAAGGGUGCAAGCGUUAAUCGGAAUUACUGGGCGUAAAGCGCGCGUAGGUGGUUCAGUAAGUUGGAAGUGAAAUCCCCGGGCUCAACCUGGGAACUGCUUUCAAAACUGCUGAGCUAGAGUACGGUAGAGGGUGGUGGAAUUUCCUGUGUAGCGGUGAAAUGCGUAGAUAUAGGAAGGAACACCAGUGGCGAAGGCGACCACCUGGACUGAUACUGACACUGAGGUGCGAAAGCGUGGGGAGCAAACAGGAUUAGAAACCCCAGUAGUCC